rnacentral:rRNA from 1 species
GAUCAUGGCUCAGGAUGAACGCUGGCGGCGUGCCUAACACAUGCAAGUCGAGCGAAGCACUUUGCUUAGAUUCUUCGGAUGAAGAGGAUUGUGACUGAGCGGCGGACGGGUGAGUAACGCGUGGGUAACCUGCCUCAUACAGGGGGAUAACAGUUAGAAAUGACUGCUAAUACCGCAUAAGACCACAGCAUCGCAUGGUGGCGGGGUAAAAACUCCGGUGGU